rnacentral:lncRNA from 1 species
CCUGCACCUUGACUUCCACCGUCUCAGAGUCUCUGCGAGCAGGGACCACUGCCAUCCUCUCACGCUUGCUGUCCUCUGUACACCCCCUUCCCAGCCCUUGUUGUCCCCCUACCCACAGAGCCAGCCUCAGACCGCACUUCAGAACGAGGUGCCCCGACCCUGUGGGCUGAGCUGGUCCCUGGGCUCGGGGCUGACGUCAUUCCAAAUGUCCACACUGUGUGUUUCUUGCUCCUGGGGGUCAAGUCCCUCCUGAGAGUCUCGGGUGGAGGGAAGUCAGCGAGUUUCUCAGGGUGAUAGAGCUGCCGCAUGAGCGGGGUCCACUCUGCCCCCGAGCCACAGACUCCUGGAAACAUAGCCAAGCCCGCUGCACCCAGGCAUAAAGCGCCCCCCACAGGGCCACCCGCGCAGUCCAGUCACGCCAAAGGCUGCUUCCAUAGGCUGUCCUCAGCUCAGCUCCGGAGGACCACAGCCCUCCUUCUGCCCCGGGAGGGGACGCUGAGUGAGGAGGGCAGCAAUGCCUGGGCUCUGCACUUCAGCCCCACUUAGCUGCCAGCUGCUUAAAAAUAGAAGGAAGAGAUUAAAAAGGAGCACGCGAAGCGGCUUUGAGGAAAGCCAUCAGCGGCCCAAAUGUGCAGACUAAUUCAAUUUCCGCAUCUUCCCGGCUCUGAACGUCCUGCGUACAGCUGCCAACAACACUUCAGCCCAGUUUGGGAAAGCCCCCCGCCCCUGCCUCCGGAAGGAGCCAUGGAGGGACAGCAGUGUCUCGGCCACACCUGUCCUUGGCAAAGAGACUUCUCCAUGGGGCUGCUCACAGGGUGGCCGUCGCCCCGUCCGUGUAAUCAUACACUGAGCGGGGAAGAGAGAUGGGCACCUGAAACGGGAGCGGAGGCACCCUUCCUAACCUCAUCUUGGCAGGGAUGUGCUCCGUCUGCUUCUGCUGCGAAACCCGAGUGAGCUCCAGGUGUAGGUCACCGGAUCCUGCUCAGAGGCGGUACUCCUGCUUCAUUUCAUGGAUGGACAAACUCAGACCCUGCAGGCUGCUUGCCCGAGCUGACAGACCCAGCAGGACAGAGGUGGCAUGGGCCCUCGGACUCUCCCCUGGCUGCUGCUUGCCCACCGGGGACCUGUGGCCUUGACAAAGUCACCCAGUGACCUGGACUUCAGUUCCCUGUCUCUUCAAAGGAACAAAUUCUGCACGUCACCAUGGCCCCAGAAGCCCAAGGUAACGUGAGACAAAGGAUGGGGAGCUUUGGGGAGGAAGAUAAAUGGGUCCAGUGUCUGAGGGCCGGCCGAAACUCAGUGCUCCAGAUGCUGGGAAACGCCACAUUUCCACUGGCCUUGGGUGACCUAGCAUCUUCUAGGGCCUGUGAGACACUGCACUGUAUCCGUCAGGGCAGGUGAGACUGUCCCAAAGCAGCAAACAGCCCCCAAGGCCCUGGGGCUUCAGGGAACUCAGUGUUCCAUGCCCAAGGGAGGAGGCCAGAGGAAUUUGACUUGCCAGAGGAGCUUGGAGACGCACGAGGUGGAAUCCCAUGCCUGCACGAGCUUCCUCAGCCCCCACAGCCUGCUGCACACCCCCUUGCCCGUGCCUCAGUGGACCAAGUAGCACAUGGUCAUACCUGCCCCUAGGCAGGGCCCAUGCUUUCUUCUGCUGCUGGACAGAGAGGCCAGGGCCAAGAUCCCCUCCUUGGAGCCUGCUGUUAACACCAAGGGGGCUCCAAGCAGGACCCUCAGAAAUAACCCCAAAGAAAGGAAUGCCCCAGUCCAGAAUGUAAACCCAGCACUUCUGGAAGCUGCCACCCAACGCAAACACGUGAAGGAAUACUGCCCCGCAUGUCCCCGGCCACAGGCAUUGGAUCCACUUUUGCACGCUGGAUUCGCGCUUGUCUUCCUAUGGAGAAUAGCUCCCCAGCCAACUGUGACACUUGGAGACUGAGUCACUAUUGAGGUUCAUCCUCGUCCUCCCACAGGAGAUGGAAACAAAAAAAACAUGUGGACACCGAGGCUUCCUUGUAUGUCUCCUGGAAGCAAUUGCUUAAUUAAUGACUAACAUGAAAUAAAAACAAACAGAACACAAACACACCCGCCCUCUCUGCCAGGGAGCAGGUUGAGUGCACAAGCAGAGGAAGUUAGAGACGCCACCCUUGGCAGGGGGAUCCUAGGUGCGAAGGUUUCUCUGACCCACCUGGUGGUCUGGGGCUGUUGACUUCCGGCUCUGUGCCUCAGUUUCCCCAUCUGGGAACUGAGAAGGACUGCUCAUCCGUGAGGGCAUUUAGUCCCUGGGCCACUCAAAACGCUUCCUACCCUCUACAAGAGUCGCCUUUCCUGUGUCCACCUCCACCGGCCUCUGCUGUCCUCUCUGCCAGGUUCCUGAGCCUGGCCGUAUGGCCUGUGCGCUGGGACCUGUAACAGCGCCUCCCCAGGUGGCCACGCUGGGUACAAAGGAUGCUGGGGACACUACACGCGAGGGCCAGUGCCCAGCAGCAGUCGCAGACUCGGAAGGCCGUGUUGUCUCUUCUUCCUGUCCUCCAUGUAAACUGAUGACUGCUCUAAGGAAGUAAGGUCACGGGCUCCAGGGCUGGGGAGGGCUGAGGUCUGCCGAGCUCAGGUGGGCAGCCUGGGAGGCUAACCUGAGUCACAGGCACACUGGGGCGGAGACAGAGGCUAAAGCUUGGACAGCUGUUCAAGGGCCUGAAAGCGCCCAAGCUCAUUUUGCCUCUCAUCCUACAGCAUUCACCUCUCCGCUGUCACGCUGCUCUCAGCCAAGGUCAAGCAGUCACAGGGUGCUUAACACAGGCUUGGCUUCUGC